UUAGUAACUGCGAGUGAAGAGGGAAAAGCUCAAAUUUAAAAUCUGGCAGUGUUUCACUGUCCGAGUUGUAACCUAGAGAAGUGUAACCUGUGCUGGACCGUGUACAAGUCUCCUGGAAUGGAGCAUCACAGAGGGUGAGAAUCCCGUCUUUGACAUGGACUACCAGUGCAUUGCGGUUGCGCUCUCAACGAGUCGAGUUGUUUGGGAAUGCAGCUCUAAAUGGGUGGUAAAUUCCAUCUAAAGCUAAAUAUUGGCGAGAGACCGAUAGCGAACAAGUACCGUGAGGGAAAGAUGAAAAGAACUUUGGAAAGAGAGUUAAACAGUAUGUGAAAUUGUUGAAAGGGAAACGUUUGAAGUCAGUCGCGUUGGUUGGGGAUCAGCCUGACAUUGUUGGGUGUAUUUCCUGGUCGACGGGCCAACAUCAGUUUUGACUGCCAGAAAAAGGCCAAAGGAAUGUGGCACCUUUGGGUGUGUUAUAGCCCUUGGUCGUAUAUGGUGGUUGGGACUGAGGAAAGCAGCGUGCCGAAAGGCCGGGUUUCGACCACGUUCACGCUGAGGAUGUUGGCAUAAUGGCUUUAAGCGACCCGUCUUGAAACACGGACCAAGGAGUCUAACAUGCAUGCGAGUGUUUGGGUGGAAAACCCUUACGCGUAAUGAAAGUGAAAGUUGAGAUCCCUGUCGCGGGGAGCAUCGACGCCCGGACCAGAACUUUUGGGACGGAUCUGCGGUAGAGCACGUAUGUUGGGACCCGAAAGAUGGUGAACUAUGCCUGAAUAGGGUGAAGCCAGAGGAAACUCUGGUGGAGGCUCGUAGCGAUUCUGACGUGCAAAUCGAUCGUCAAAUUUGGGUAUAGGGGCGAAAGACUAAUCGAACC
rnacentral:rRNA from 1 species